UACGAAGGGGGCUAGCGUUGUUCGGAAUCACUGGGCGUAAAGGGCGCGUAGGCGGCUUUAUAAGUCGGGGGUGAAAGCCUGCGGCUCAACCACAGAAUUGCCUUCGAUACUGUAGAGCUUGAGACCGGAAGAGGUAAGUGGAACUGCGAGUGUAGAGGUGAAAUUCGUAGAUAUUCGCAAGAACACCAGUGGCGAAGGCGGCUUACUGGUCCGGUUCUGACGCUGAGGCGCGAAAGCGUGGGGAGCAAACAGG
rnacentral:rRNA from 1 species